GAUGAACGCUGGCGGCGUGCUUAACACAUGCAAGUCGAACGGAAAGGCCGAAGCUUGCUUCGGUACUCGAGUGGCGAACGGGUGAGUAACACGUGGGUGAUCUGCCCUGUACUUCGGGAUAAGCUUGGGAAACUGGGUCUAAUACCGGAUAUGACGAUCUCUUGGAUGGGGUUGUGGAAAGCUUUUGCGGUAUGGGAUGAGCUUGCGGCCUAUCAGCUUGUUGGUGGGGUAAUGGCCUACCAAGGCGUCGACGGGUAGCCGGCCUGAGAGGGUGUACGGCCACAUUGGGACUGAGAGACGGCCCAGACUCCUACAGGAGGCAGCAGUGGGGAAUAUUGCACAAUGGGAGCAAGCCUGAUGCAGAGACGCCGCGUGGGGGAUGACGGCCUUCGGGUUGUAAACAACUUUCGCAAUCGACGAAGCCUUUUGGUGACGGUAGGUUAAGAAGAAGCACCGGCUAACUACGUG
rnacentral:rRNA from 1 species